GUCGAACGAAGCACUUAGGACAGAUUACUUCGGUUUGAAGUCCUACUUGACUGAGUGGCGGACGGGUGAGUAACGCGUGGGUAACCUGCCUCAUACAGGGGGAUAACAGUUAGAAAUGACUGCUAAUACCGCAUAAGCGCACGGUCUCGCAUGGGACAGUGUGAAAAACUCCGGUGGUAUGAGAUGGACCCGCGUCUGAUUAGCUAGUUGGUGGGGUAAGGGCUCACCAAGGCGACGAUCAGUAGCCGGCCUGAGAGGGUGAACGGCCACAUUGGGACUGAGACACGGCCCAGACUCCUGCGGGAGGCAGCAGUGGGGAAUAUUGCACAAUGGGGGAAACCCUGAUGCAGCGACGCCGCGUGAGCGAUGAAGUAUUUCGGUAUGUAAAGCUCUAUCAGCAGGGAAGAAAGAAGACGGUACCUGAGUAAGAAGCCCCGGCUAACUACGUGCCAGCAGCCGCGGUAAUACGUAGGGGGCAAGCGUUAUCCGGAUUUACUGGGUGUAAAGGGAGCGUAGACGGCAAGGCAAGCCUGGAGUGAAAGGCGGGGGCCCAACCCCCGGACUGCUCUGGGAACUGUCUAGCUAGAGUGCAGGAGGGGUAAGUGGAAUUCCUAGUGUAGCGGUGAAAUGCGUAGAUAUUAGGAGGAACACCAGUGGCGAAGGCGGCUUACUGGACUGUAACUGACG
rnacentral:rRNA from 1 species